GUACACGCUGUGACUAGCAUAUCAAUAAGCGGAGGAAAAGAAACUAACAAGGAUUCCCCUAGUAACGGCGAGUGAAGCGGGAAGAGCUCAAAUUUGAAAUCUUGAAAGGUCACCUUUCACGAAUUGUAGUUUAAAGAAGUGUUUUCUGUUACGAUCGUAAUAUAAGUUCUUUGGAAUAGGACAUCACAGAGGGUGAGAAUCCCGUCUAUGAUUGCGAUUUGUAGCUUUGUGAUACACUUUCAAAGAGUCGGGUUGUUUGGGAAUGCAGCCCAAAACGGGAGGUAAAUUUCUUCUAAGGCUAAAUAUUGGCGAGAGACCGAUAGCGAACAUGUACCGUGAGGGAAAGAUGAAAAGAACUUUGAAAAGAGAGUUAAACAGUACGUGAAAUUGUCAAAAGGGAAGCGUUUGACACCAGUGUUGUUUUCUCGAAAAUCAAUUAAAAAUGGCUCGAUUUUGUAUUGCUGAGACCUUAAAAGCUCACUGUACAUUUUUCGUGUCUUUUUUAAUGCACUUUUCGUUUAACAAGUCAACAUCAGUUUCUUUUGUUGUAAAAGGGUCAUUGGAAGGUGGCUUUCUUUUCGGAGAAAGUGUUUAUAGCCUUUGGCCUCUGCAAUCGAAGAGACUGAGGUCUGCAGCGUAGACUCUUCGGGGUUAGAUACAUUUGUGCUAAGUUAUAGCUUUUUAUAGACAACUUGUUGACUAUAAUUAGUCUUGUAGCUUACUCGCUUAUGCUAUUUUACCUACGCUUAGGAUGUUGACGCAUGAGAUAUACGC
rnacentral:rRNA from 1 species